rnacentral:rRNA from 1 species
GAUGAACGCUAGCUACAGGCUUAACACAUGCAAGUCGAGGGGCAGCAUGGUCUUAGCUUGCUAAGGCCGAUGGCGACCGGCGCACGGGUGAGUAACACGUAUCCAACCUGCCGUCUACUCUUGGACAGCCUUCUGAAAGGAAGAUUAAUACAAGAUGGCAUCAUGAGUCCGCAUGUUCACAUGAUUAAAGGUAUUCCGGUAGACGAUGGGGAUGCGUUCCAUUAGAUAGUAGGCGGGGUAACGGCCCACCUAGUCUUCGAUGGAUAGGGGUUCUGAGAGGAAGGUCCCCCACAUUGGAACUGAGACACGGUCCAAACUCCUACGGGAGGCAGCAGUGAGGAAUAUUGGUCAAUGGGCGAGAGCCUGAACCAGCCAAGUAGCGUGAAGGAUGACUGCCCUAUGGGUUGUAAACUUCUUUUAUAAAGGAAUAAAGUCGGGUAUGGAUACCCGUUUGCAUGUACUUUAUGAAUAAGGAUCGGCUAACUCCGUGCCAGCAGCCGCGGUAAUACGGAGGAUCCGAGCGUUAUCCGGAUUUAUUGGGUUUAAAGGGAGCGUAGAUGGAUGUUUAAGUCAGUUGUGAAAGUUUGCGGCUCAACCGUAAAAUUGCAGUUGAUACUGGAUAUCUUGAGUGCAGUUGAGGCAGGCGGAAUUCGUGGUGUAGCGGUGAAAUGCUUAGAUAUCACGAAGAACUCCGAUUGCGAAGGCAGCCUGCUAAGCUGCAACUGACAUUGAGGCUCGAAAGUGUGGGUAUCAAACAGGAUUAGAUACCCUGGUAGUCCACACGGUAAACGAUGAAUACUCGCUGUUUGCGAUAUACUGCAAGCGGCCAAGCGAAAGCGUUAAGUAUUCCACCUGGGGAGUACGCCGGCAACGGUGAAACUCAAAGGAAUUGACGGGGGCCCGCACAAGCGGAGGAACAUGUGGUUUAAUUCGAUGAUACGCGAGGAACCUUACCCGGGCUUAAAUUGCAGAUGAAUUACGGUGAAAGCCGUAAGCCGCAAGGCAUCUGUGAAGGUGCUGCAUGGUUGUCGUCAGCUCGUGCCGUGAGGUGUCGGCUUAAGUGCCAUAACGAGCGCAACCCUUGUUGUCAGUUACUAACAGGUUCCGCUGAAGACUCUGACAAGACUGCCAUCGUAAGAUGUGAGGAAGGUGGGGAUGACGUCAAAUCAGCACGGCCCUUACGUCCGGGGCUACACACGUGUUACAAUGGGGGGUACAGAGGGCCGCUACCACGCGAGUGGAUGCCAAUCCCCAAAACCUCUCUCAGUUCGGACUGGAGUCUGCAACCCGACUCCACGAAGCUGGAUUCGCUAGUAAUCGCGCAUCAGCCACGGCGCGGUGAAUACGUUCCCGGGCCUUGUACACACCGCCCGUCAAGCCAUGGGAGCCGGGGGUACCUGAAGUGCGUAACCGCGAGGAGCGCCCUAGGGUAAAACUGGUGACUGGGGAUAAGU